UACGUAGGGGGCAAGCGUUGUCCGGAUUUAUUGGGCGUAAAGCGCACGCAGGCGGUCUGUUCAGUUUGGAGUGACAGUUCCUGGCUCAACCGGGAAAGUGCUUCGAAUACUGGCGGACUUGAGGGCUUCAGAGGGACACGGAAUUCCGGGUGGAGUGGUGAAAUGCGUAGAGAUCCGGAGGAACACCAAAGGCGAAGGCAGUGUCCUGGGGAGUACCUGACGCUCAGGUGCGAAAGCCAGGGGAGCGAACGGG
rnacentral:rRNA from 1 species